CCUACGGGAUGCAGCAGUGAGGAAUAUUGGUCAAUGGACGCAAGUCUGAACCAGCCAAGUAGCGUGCAGGAUGACGGCCCUCCGGGUUGUAAACUGCUUUUAGUUGGGAAUAAAAGGGGGCUCGUGAGCCCCGUAUUGUAUGUACUAUCAGAAAAAGGACCGGCUAAUUCCGUGCCAGCAGCCGCGGUAAUACGGAAGGUCCGGGCGUUCUCCGGAUUUAUUGGUUUUAAAGGGAGCGUAGGCCGGCUUUUAAGUCAGCUGUGAAAGUCCGCGGCUCAACCGUAAAAUUGCAAUUUAUACUGGCAGUCUUGAGUACAGUUGAGGUAGGCAGAAUUCGUGGUGUAGCGGUGAAAUGCUUAGAGAUCACGAAGAACUCCGAUUGCGAAGGCAGCUUACUAAACUGCCACUGACAUUGAUGCUCGAAAGUGUGGGUAUCAAACAGGAUUAGAUACCCCGGUAGUC
rnacentral:rRNA from 1 species